UGGGGAAUUUUGGACAAUGGGGGAAACCCUGAUCCAGCCAUCCCGCGUGUGCGAUGAAGGCCUUCGGGUUGUAAAGCACUUUUGGCAGGAAAGAAACGUCGCGGGUUAAUACCCCGCGAAACUGACGGUACCUGCAGAAUAAGCACCGGCUAACUACGUGCCAGCAGCCGCGGUAAUACGUAGGGUGCAAGCGUUAAUCGGAAUUACUGGGCGUAAAGCGUGCGCAGGCGGUUCGGAAAGAAAGAUGUGAAAUCCCAGAGCUUAACUUUGGAACUGCAUUUUUAACUACCGGGCUAGAGUGUGUCAGAGGGAGGUGGAAUUCCGCGUGUAGCAGUGAAAUGCGUAGAGUAUGCGGAGGAACACCGAUGGCGAAGGCAGCCUCCUGGGAUAACACUGACGCUCAUGCACGAAAGCGUGGGGAGCAAACAGGAUUAGAUACCCUGGUAGUCCACGCCCUAAACGAUGUCAACUAGCUGUUGGGGGCCUUCGGGCCUUGGUAGCGCAGCUAACGCGUGAAGUUGACCGCCUGGGGAGUACGGUCGCAAGAUUAAAA
rnacentral:rRNA from 1 species